GGGGGGAGGCCGGAUCCUGGGCUGUGUCUCCGGCACCCAGUGCUUCUGGGGCCUGCGCUGUUGGAUUCGCGCUCCCGCCCCGCAGCCCCCU
rnacentral:pre_miRNA from 1 species